CCCUUCUGGAGUUUGGCAGAGGGGGGUGGAAUUCCACGUGUAGCAGUGAAAUGCGUAGAGAUGUGGAGGAACACCAAUGGCGAAGGCAGCCCCCUGGGUCGAUACUGACGCUCAUGCACGAAAGCGUGGGUAGCAAACAGGAUUAGAUACCCUGGUAGUCCACGCCCUAAACGAUGUCAACUAGGUGUUGGGAGGGUAAAACCUUUUAGUGCCGUAGCUAAC
rnacentral:rRNA from 1 species